rnacentral:tRNA from 1 species
GGGAUGCCGGUGCGAAGGCACGGGCUACUUCCACUCGAAAUGGGGUUGUCGUCGGUUCGAAUCCGGCCGUCUCGCCA